GCUCGGGUAGCUCAGUUGGUUAGAGCACUUGAUUGAAGCUCAAGGUGUCGGCAGUUCGAGUCUGCCUCCGAGCACAA
rnacentral:tRNA from 1 species